GUUGGGAUGAUGCGUACAAUGAAAAUGAUUUAGAUGAAACAUGAGGUCAUUUCACUUUCAUGAUUCUUAAUGACAACCAUCGUCCAUGAAAACAACUUAGUAAGACGCAGAAGAAGAACGAUCAACCACAGAUGACAGAGGUGGAGAGUUAUUCUUCUUUAGACUGAACAUUCCCAGUGGGUCUUGGCCAUUCCCUCGCCGAUUGCUGGAAGCCUCAUCGUGGACUAAAUUUUAUGCGCCUCACGUCUCUGCAUCCGGGAUCUACUGUUGACUGAGCCAAGACAACAACAACAGAGGACCUCUAGCAGUUUGAUGGGCUGUGAUCGUCUGGAAUCUGCUGAUGCCUGGCGAAUGACCCACUCUGCUGCCCUGACGACCCUCACCGUGCCUUCAGACGGAAUCACCAGGCCUCCAUUGUUUCUUAGAGUCAGCAGGUGGUAGCUCUUGUCCUUACUGGCAGAUGCAGCGUCCGUCACCAGGCUGGCACGGCAGACAUCACAGGACAGCUUCUUCACCGUCCGUCGCACAACAAAUCCUGAAAUUAGAGGCAAAAUACACUAUCGGUCGACCUCUACCUGAAAUGUACACGAGAGCGUUGUCCACAAGACCAUCGAAGCGGGUGGGAAGGUAGCUGUGGUCAUGUACAAGGGCAGGAAUGUCAGCAAACGGGGAUGGAAGAUCUUCUCUUUGUUCUGCAGAGGACAUAUCUACAGCUGACAGGUUUGUAGAUGUGUCGAUGUGGUAGGACUGGGCAGCAGAGGACAUUGCUACAGCUGGUAGGGACUCUGUGUCAUCCUGUGCAGUCACAUUGCCUUUGCUGCUUGGUUUAACAACCCCACACCGGGCCAUCAGCUUUCGGAAGAUGUACUUGAACUGGCUGGCAUUAGGGUUGUUAUUCCAGCCACCUUAAAAUAAACACAAGAUAUACGAGUAUAUUACACAUAUAUAUUCAAUAUAUCUUUAUGCUUUAAAAAAAAAAAGACAAAUUAGAACUAGCCACCCCUGAAUGAUCUUUCCACAUAAAUUAAGUUGAAUGACAUCAUCAUACAAUUCAGACUGUAUCACAGUGGUGACAAAUUCUGCAAACAGAUAGACAAACACACAGACAUUUUACUAAAUACUAAAAAUAGUUUGUGACACUUCCAGAUACUGUAUAUGUCUUCAGAACCACAUUUUUCCCAAAAAAAAACAAAAAACAUAUGGACCGACAAACUGAAAACAAUACGAGCAUUUGCUGACACUUCGUGUCACUUAGUGUUGCGGCUGGUAAAUAUGAAUUAUGAACCCUACCGGAUGCUCUGAUGGAGUUAAAGAGAAGCUCCAAGUGGUCCUGGCUGAACCUGUAGGUCAGGACAUAUCGCUGUCCUUCAAGCAGCACAGGAACCAUUGACAUCAACGUGUCGAUAUUGAUGAUGAAGCCCAGGAUAGAGAGGAACCUUCAAAAGCAAAUAUUGUAUUACUAUGAUGAUCCUGCCAAAACAGGACACAAGAAAGCAGGGAUGCAAACACAAACGGUAUAGGGUGAAAAUAGUGAAUGCUCCCAGAGCAGCACUUCUCAGGGAGCUGCCAGGGCAGACACAAAUCCACAUUUCACACAAUUCACUUCAUUGCCACAUUUGGGGGAAAAAAGGGGGCCGUAACCUAAAGCUGACUAGUUUGCAUCCCUGAUCUUAAAUGUAUAAUCAGUGUGAGGUUUAGGAUCCUUAAAAAUACUUUUAGGACACUAAACCUGCUUGAAUCAAUUCACAACAGAGCAUGCAGACCAUGCAAUACAUACCAUUUUGACACCUGCAUCUGGGGGGGGGGGGGGGGGGG